rnacentral:rRNA from 1 species
CGCUGGCGGCGUGCCUAAUACAUGCAAGUCGAACGGUCUUUCUAUGGAAGCUUGCUUCCACUGAGAAGAUAGUGGCGAACGGGUGAGUAACACGUGGGUAACCUGCCCAUAAGAGGGGGAUAACAUCCGGAAACGGGUGCUAAUACCGCAUAGUUUUCUUGAUCGCAUGAUUGAGAAAGGAAAGACGGCCUUUGUGCUGUCGCUUAUGGAUGGACCCGCGGCGUAUUAGUUAGUUGGUGAGGUAACGGCUCACCAAGACGAUGAUACGUAGCCGACCUGAGAGGGUGAUCGGCCACAUUGGGACUGAGACACGGCCCAAACUCCUACGGGAGGCAGCAGUAGGGAAUCUUCCGCAAUGGACGAAAGUCUGACGGAGCAACGCCGCGUGAGUGAAGAAAGGUUUUCGGAUCGUAAAACUCUGUUGUCAGAGAAGAACAAGUUGGAGAGUAACUGCUCCAGCUUUGACGGUAUCUGACCAGAAAGCCACGGCUAACUACGUGCCAGCAGCCGC